UUAAAACCCAGAAGAUACAAAGAAAAACUAGUCAUUGUUACUAAAUAAAAAGUGAAACCUUCUGCUAGGCUGAGCCCUAAGAACCAAGUCAGAAAAAAUCCUACAAACCAGGGAGAAAUACGACAAAGCCUGGUUUGGUUUUGGUUUUUUACUGCCACAGGCUGGGUUUUCUGGAAGGCAGAUGCUAGGGAGUGUGGAGCGCAGGAAGCCCUGGGGCUAUGAUGUGAGUGCCAGCCCGUGAGCUCCCCAGGAACCCGCUCUGUGCCCCGGGCCCACACCCUGGACUGCUAAGGGAAGCGGUCUCAGCUGCUUUCUCUCCUCCCUCCCUUAGGGGACUGCCCCAGCGCUGGGGAAAGCACUGUGGUGCACUGUGGGUUGGGAGCUCAGCCGCCUCCCUCUUGGGUAGAGCAGCCAGCUCUUCCUCCUUCAUGCUCAGUCAUGGACUGGGGACCUGAGGAGACUGGCCCAGGCUGCAAAAUUACUGAAAGAAAAGAUGUCUACAGUAUACUGUUAAUAAAGUUCUAAAGUUCUGUGUCUGAAGAAGGAAACCAACUCAAGAGUUGUCUGGGGACUGCCACCUCAAGUUGGUAAGUGUGGAGUAUGGACUGGGAGUUUUCAAGGAAAUGAGGCUGUGAUCUUGUGGGAGGAUGAAGGUGAGGCUUUAAUUUUUAUUGUAUCUCUAUUCUGUCUGGCUAUUUAAAAACAAAACAAUAAUUAGACAAACUCGCUGGACACAAAGCUGUGGCAGACAUUAGCGCAGGCCGCCAACUGUGUCCGCCUGUCCUCCUGGGCCUUGGCCCUGUCCUCUCGUCUGGCCAGUGGUGAGCAGAUGCAAGGUGGCAGCUCUGGGUGGACGAUGCGGAGCCCCUUGGCCUUUAGUGAGGGGACACUGCGUGUUCAUGUGCCUGGGUCCCCGUGACUGCAGGGAGCCCCCCGCUGACCUGCGGUGACACACGGUAUUCAGCGAACUCAGAAGAAUGCAGUGAGGAGAAUGUCCACAGUUCUCCGAGAAGGUUGUUGAAUUGUGUACAUAGUUGUUGUAAGACUGGAUAUUUGACAUACACGUCAGCCAGAGUAAUUGUGUCACAGCAGGUGGAAUGCAGAAGCAGGCGAGAAUCCAGUUGUCAAAUACUAAAGCCACUUGCAAGAAUUGAGAACAGUGCUGUUCUUUUCACUAAGUUACUUUAGCUUUGGG
ensembl:lncRNA